rnacentral:rRNA from 1 species
AGCAGCCAUCCUUUAAAGAAAGCGUAACAGCUCACUGGUCUAAAUAAGGGUUUCUGCGCCGAAAAUGUAACGGGGCUAAAGCCAUACACCGAAGUCGCGGGCUCGCAAGAGCGGUAGCAGAGCGUUCCGCAAGUCAGUGAAGGGAUACCCGCGAGGGAUCCUGGAGAUACCGGAAGUGCGAAUGUUGACAUGAGUAACGAUAAAGGGAGUGAGAGACUCCCUCGCCGAAAGACCAAGGGUUCCUGCUUAAAGUUAAUCUGAGCAGGGUGAGCCGGCCCCUAAGGCGAGGCCGAAAGGCGUAGUCGA